rnacentral:misc_RNA from 1 species
AAGUCGUAACAAGGUUUCCGGAGGUGAACCUGCGGAAGGAUCAUUAACACGUAUCCAAACGUUGAUUCCUACUCUUGUAACCCGAAGCUUGCAAUCUCUGGUAAAUCAUAGCCCGGAAAGUAGUUUUGAUUCAGAGACCUCUGGCCCGUGCGAAAAUUGGAACAGUUACAAUUCGAGCGGUAGUUCUAUAGGCCUUGUUUCCCCAAGCAGUCAGUGUCUGAAAGUGUCAGUGAUUGUGCAAGGAUAACGCUUCACGAUUCUUGUAGACCGCAUCUCGCGGGCAGGAGCUAGGCCAAAGGGUCCCCAUGCCCCCUUACAACCCCACAGUUAAAUGUGAAGCUCAAUGUAAUACAUUGGGUAAAAAACCGAACAACUGUUAACAAUGGAUAUCUUGGUUCUC